rnacentral:tRNA from 1 species
GGAGAUAUAGCUCAGUGGUAGAGCAUUUGCUUAGCAUGCAUGAGGACCUGGGUUCAAUCCCCAGCAUAACCC